GACGAACGCUGGCGGCGUGCCUAAUACAUGCAAGUUGAGCGAUGAAGAUUGGUGCUUGCACCAAUUUGAAGAGCAGCGAACGGGUGAGUAACGCGUGGGGAAUCUGCCUUUGAGCGGGGGACAACAUUUGGAAACGAAUGCUAAUACCGCAUAACAACUUUAAACAUAAGUUUUAAGUUUGAAAGAUGCAAUUGCAUCACUCAAAGAUGAUCCCGCGUUGUAUUAGCUAGUUGGUGGGGUAAAGGCUCACCAAGGCGAUGAUACAUAGCCGACCUGAGAGGGUGAUCGGCCACAUUGGGACUGAGACACGGCCCAAACUCCUACGGGAGGCAGCAGUAGGGAAUCUUCGGCAAUGGACGAAAGUCUGACCGAGCAACGCCGCGUGAGUGAAGAAGGUUUCGGAUCGUAAAACUCUGUUGGUAGAGAAGAACGUUGGUGAGAGUGGAAAGCUCAUCAAGUGACGGUAACUACCCAGAAAGGGACGGCUAACUACGU
rnacentral:rRNA from 1 species